UACGUACGAGGCGAGCGUUAUCCGGAAUUACUGGGCGUAAAGCGCGCGCAGGCGGAUGGGUAUGUCGGACGUGAAAUCUCCCGGCCUAACUGGGAGCCGUCGUCCGAAACUGCCCGUCUUGAGGACAGCAGAGGUGGGUGGAAUUCCUGGUGUAGUGGUGAAAUGCGUAGAGAUCAGGAGGAACACCGGUGGCGAAGGCGGCCCACUGGGCUGUCACUGACGCUGAGGCGCGAAAGCUCGGGGAGCGAACGGG
rnacentral:rRNA from 1 species